CCUACGGGAGGCAGCAGUGAGGAAUAUUGGUCAAUGGGCGAGAGCCUGAACCAGCCAAGUCGCGUGAGGGAAGACGGUCCUAUGGAUUGUAAACCUCUUUUGUCGGGGAGCAAAAAGGCCUCGUGUGGCCACAAGUGAGUGUACCCGAAGUAAAAGCAUCGGCUCACUCCGUGCCAGCAGCCGCGGUAAUACGGAGGAUGCGAGCGUUAUCCGGAUUUAUUGGGUUUAAAGUGGGCGGAGGCGGAAGGUCAAGUCAGCGGUAAAAUUGAGAGGCUCAAACGUUUCGGGCCGUUGAUACUGGUUUUCGUGAGUGAGUGAGAAGUAUGAGGAAUGGGUGGGGUAGCGGUGAAAUGCAUAGAUAUCACGCAGAACUCCGAUUGCGAAGGAAGCAUACCGGCGCUCAACUGACGCUGAUGCACGAAAGUGUGGGUAUCGAACAGGAUUAGAUACCCUAGUAGUC
rnacentral:rRNA from 1 species